rnacentral:rRNA from 1 species
CCUACGGGAGGCAGCAGUGGGGAAUAUUGCACAAUGGGCGAAAGCCUGAUGCAGCAACGCCGCGUGAAGGAAGACGGUUCUCGGAUUGUAAACUUCUGUUUUUAGUGAAGAAUAAUGACGGUAACUAAGGAGCAAGCCACGGCUAAAUACGUGCCAGCAGCCGAGGUAAUACGUAGGGGGCAAGAGUUGUCCGGAAUUACUGGGUGUAAAGGGAGCGUAGGCGGGAAGCCAAGUCAGCUGUGAAAACUACGGGCUUAACCUGUAGACUGCAGUUGAAACUGGCUGUCUUGAGUGAAGUAGAGGUUGGCGGAAUUCGGAGUGUAGCGGUGAAAUGCGUAGAUAGUCGGAGGAACACCGGUGGCGAAGGCAGCCAACUGGGCUUUAACUGACGCUGAGGCUCGAAAGUGUGGGGAGCAAACAGGAUUAGAUACCCCUGUAGUC